GCAGGGAUGGCCGAGAGGUUAAGGCGUUGGAUUUAGGUUCUCCAAUUUCGAAAGAAGCAUGGGUUCGAACCCCAUUUCCUGCA
rnacentral:tRNA from 1 species